rnacentral:rRNA from 2 species
GAACUGAAGAGUUUGAUCCUGGCUCAGAUUGAACGCUGGCGGCAUGCUUUACACAUGCAAGUCGAACGGCAGCGCGGGGCAACCUGGCGGCGAGUGGCGAACGGGUGAGUAA